GAAAUGCGAUAAGUAAUGUGAAUUGCAGAAUUCAGUGAAUCAUCGAAUCUUUGAACGCACAUUGCGCCCGUCAGCAUUCUGGCGGGCAUGCCUGUUCGAGCGUCAUUUCAACCCUCAGGACCCCCCUUUCGCGGGGAGGGACCUGGCGUUGGGGAUCGGCCCGCCCCCCGCGGCGGCGCCGUCCCCGAAAUCUAGUGGCGGUCUCGCUGCAGCCUCCCUUGCGUAGUAGUUACAACCUCGCAUCGGAGCGCGGCGCGGCCACGCCGUAAAACCCCCGACUUUCUGAACGUUGACCUCGGAUCAGGUAGGAAUACCCGCUGAACUUAAGC
rnacentral:misc_RNA from 1 species